AACUACAUACGAUAUGAACACUUACCAGUGUUAAAUUGGGCGUUUAAAUGGCUAUAAACUAAUGACUAUUUGGCGAACAAGAACACCGUAUCUAACGAUCGAACCGUCUAGUGUGUUAAACUUCAGCAAACGUCAUAUUUAGUAAGAGUAAAAUUGAAUAAUCGCGACUCCCUUAACAGCUAUUGACACAUUAGGUCGUAAAACUUCAGGUGCAAUGGGUCACUACUUGAUCGCUCGAGCGUCGCACCGUGUCGGUGUUUAUAAUGUGUAAAUUCUUUACCUGACAAGGAUGACUGACCGUGUUGAUAGUGCAUUUUAGGUGAAAUUGAAGAAAAAAGAUCUGUGCUCUUUAUUUUUUUUUUAUAUCCAUGUGUGUUUUCACCGAUCGGAUUUAAAAAGUGCUGUUAAAGCGGCCCGCAAUUUACCGGGUACCAUGACGGAUUCGGGAUCCGAAGAUGGAACGGAGUGGGACAGUUUCCGGGUACGAGAUGAGGAGGAAAUGGAGUUCUUCACUGAACUUGCUUUGCACGAGACGGAAAGAUGGAUUCAGGCGGUGACUCGUAAGAAGUUUGAAUACCCAGAAGACUUCCGCAGAUCAUUGAGCAAUGGCAUUUUACUGUGCGAGUUAUUGAACUGUAUAGAACCCGGAUUGAUUAAAAGGAUCAACAAGCUCCCAGGGGCUAUUGCUGGACUGGACAAUUUGAAUGUGUUCCUGUCAGUUUGUGAGAAGACCUUUGGGCUGAAGAAGUCUCAUCUGUUUGACCCUUCCGAUCUUGAGGACUUGUCUCAGCGCGCCAUCGCAGAUGAAAAAGAGGGUCUGCUUAAACAAGAAUCAGAUCGGAGAGCAACAAAUGUCGCUGUUUGCAUUUACUGGCUGGCAAAAUCAGUGAAUGAAAAAUUCAAAGGCCCCACACUUGAUACCAGCGCAUUCAGGGCUUUAGUCUACACUCACGGGACUAAACGGGAUAGCAUCAUAGCGGAUGAGUGUUACAACGGACUUCCAUUCGGCAAAGAAAAAAAUGGACUAGAAACCUUAGGGGAGAGUCACAAAGAAAACAGCCAUUUCAGAGGCAGUUCCUAUGAUUCCUUAGAGUCUGUUGAACGUGAAUCUGUAUCGAGUUUUGAUGAUUUAGACUCCAGUGGUAAUAUGCCCGUUCGUUCGGAUAUGCGGGAAAUGCGGAAAUACGGGAGCACUAGUUCCCUUAAUAAUAGAGAUUUGCGGUUUUCCAUGGCCAGCCAGGAUUCUAUGUACUCAGACAAUAAAGACGACAGUAUGUAUACAAGUUCACCAGAUGUUUCACACGCUCACACACGAUCGUCCUCGACUGACAGCGCGGAAGGCGGUAUCUAUAGCAACCAUUCCCGUCAGUCGUCAGGCAGCAUGGAUUAUCCCACAAGGAAGGCGUCUUUGACAGCCAACCCACGAAAAAUGAGCGCAACGAUUCCAGACCCACUGCAGUUUGUGAAGCUGAAAGGUGCUGCAGAACUAGCGGAGCAGGCCAAAAGACAGAUGCAGGUCGCGCAGGAAACAAACAUCAUGCGUGGAAAAACAAAUAGUACAGUCAGCUUUUCAAGCGAGGAACCAGAUUGGAAGUCGAACCUGUCCAACUGGAAGAAGCAGCGUCGCAAGUCUGCCCACCUGCCGCUGGGUGAUACCGACAACCUCGACGAGCAACCCGAGGAAGACAACAGACGACACAAGACAUUCAGACAGAUCAUGUCAGAAAAAGAAAACCGCUCUGGACGCAAGUCAAUGAAUGUCUACCCAAUGGAUGAUGAACCUGCAAUCACCAUAGAGAGAACCACAAGAACUAUGGCAUCACCAAAAUCAAAGCCUGCAGUGGACCCGCUGGUACCAAAGCUGCCUGAGGUUGCACCAUGGGCCAAAGACUCGAGUGGAGAAGACAACAGUCACUCAGACUCAGAAAAUCAUCAGUCAGGCGAUAAUGACAGUGUGUUCUCUUCCUCUGACAAAUCUUCAACACCAAACAAGAUACUGAGUGAUGAUGAGUCCUUGGUGAAAAACAAAAGUAGCUCGAACAUUUCAGCCAAUAAGGCAAGACCUCUGCAGACGCAAAAGUCGCAAGACAGCGUGUUACAAAAGUGGCAAAACAGUGUGAACGAAUCUCAUAGGAGUAACGAGAACAAGAACAGGGUGAACGUUCCCAACAGCAAUUCUAAAAUUAAAAACAUUACGCAGGCAUUUGAGGUGAAGGAGAAGGAAGUGCAAAAUACCCCAGCAAAAUCGCGACGUUCUGAACUCAAUAAUUCAAAAACAAAGUCAUUGGAUUUAAGUAGUUCAAAGUUUGCAAGUUAUGAGCCUACACCUCUCUCCCCGACUACACCGCAGGCUUUGUUGCCACGUGAACAGAGGUUUGGUCAUGACAGGUCGGUGUCUGACCCAUAUAUACGUGAAACUGACCAGCUGUCAGUAGCCCAAAGUGCGACAGAUAGGUAUUUGCAAAAUGUAUCACCCAUUCACACUAAUCCAACCACCAAAGCUUUUCCGGCAUCAUGUAAUACUCAAACAGUUGCUCUCCCUGCCAAUGCUAUGCCUCGGCCUGCUGCUAAACCAUCAAAAGACAAGAUUGCCAUGGCGCGGACACUGUUCGAACAGUCUGGUUACCACCAAGAAAAAGAAUUCAAUCCAGAAAAGAGCGAUAAAAAUGCUGUCAAGGACACCGAUGCCACAAAUCAUAUGGUUAGCAAUAUGACAGAUGACGAUGCUGAAGAAAGUAAGAGAAAUGAUACAGAGGCCAGUUCAGUUGAAAAAUUCUUUGAGGAACAACCAGCUGAUGUUCCUGGGUUUAAAGAAAAAAAUCGUCAGAGAACUGAAGCAGACAUUGAGCAAGAAUUACAUGAUGAUUCAGUUGAGAAUAUGGCUAACCAGGAAAAUGCUAGGGACGAUACAAUUGAAAAUGAGGACAGAUUUGACUGUUCUGCCAACACAAGUCAAAUUGCCGAAGAAUUGGUGAGUGAGACUUUGGAAUCCGUGACCAAUCAGGAACAAGCCAUAGUAGGUCAUCCUGAAAACCAGAAGCUAAUUCUGUCAGAGAACUUUAAACAAUCAGUUUUAGUUAAGGAGAGUGGUUUUCAUGGAGAACAAAUAGAUUAUUUAAAACAGAAAGACUUUGCACACAAAGAGUAUGAUGACUUUGGGAAUGAAACACAAGGUCAUUUUGAUGACAUCCAUGGGCCUGAAGAUGGAAAUUUAAAUGAAAGUAUUGAGAUGAAUUCAGAAGAUGGAAUCCCUGAAUUGCCUGCUAGUAAAAUACCUGAUAUAGUACCAAGCCAUGCUGCAGCAGUACAGGAGCUAUCAAGGGAUGGCAGUAUUGGGGAUGAUGAUUUUGCAGAUAUGAUCAGAGAUGUAGGAAGUUCUAGCUCCGUUGAAAAGAUCAUACGAAUAAGCCAGCGUAAGAACAAUGAGCGCGGCUUUGGCUUUGUGCUAGACGGUGGAAUUGAAAAGAAAAAGCCUGUAACAGUCCAGCGUGUCAACCUAGGCAGUGAAACAAGUGAAAAUGACGAUGUUUUUAUUGAACCUGAGCGCAGCGCAGCAGACGUCCAGGAAGUGAAACAAGGUGACGAACUCCUGGAGAUAAAUGGUCGCGACGUGACAACCUUGACCUUGGCCCAGGUGCAGGGAAUUGUGGAUCUUGCUGUAAAGAAAGGGCAGAUAGAGCUGCGCGUGAAGCGCGCUGCAGACGAAGAUGCAUAUGAUUCAAUGGAGGAUGAGGAUAACCAGUCCAGUCAGAACAACAACAACAACAACAACCAGGAGAGCAAGAUGGACACCCAGUCUGACAGCAGUCUGUCCACGGACCAGACUUCCCUGGAGGAUCCACCAGUGAAAAAUGUUCAUCAGAUUCCUGUGAAAACAGACGAGACUGGCAAACCACGCCUCAUGGACCAGUUGAUUGGAGAACAACAAAGGGAAACAAACAACAAUGAGAAGAAUGCUAGAACACGCAGCCCAGUAACUGUGGAGAGAAUUCAGAUGGAAACUACUGCAGCUACACACUCAAUGCCAGCCCGUCAACUUUCUGAGACGCCUAAAGACAUCAGCGGCCCUAGCAACUUGACCUUGACAGAAGAAAGGUCUACUUUAUUGGUGCACAAAUCCCCACCAGCAUGGGUCAAAACUCAACAGGAACCAGAAUCCUCCAUCUCCAAUUCAGGCAUCCGUGAAGAGCCAAGUUACGACCGUCGUCAUGACAAUGCAAGCACAGCAUCAGACGACUCCAGUUCUUCUAUCGGACCACCUGCGGCACUACUCCGUUGGCAACGACGGCGACCACAAUCAUCAGAGUAUAACAACACAGCUCCAGUGCUUGAAGACAAGGAGAAAGAACGAGAAAUAAGGUUUAGUUCCACUCUUCCCUAUAAGAGUGUGCCAUUCACAUUCAAUGAGGCUUAUGCUAAGGAUGAUUCUGAAAUGGACAAAGUGACCAAGAAUUUUGUUGAGACCGUGUCAAUGUCAAAGCCUCUUGAGGUCAAACCGCAGGCUUUUCAGUUCAAUGACUCCGCCCGCCUGGAUGAUUGGCAGCAGAGGGAGGAGCAGAAGAGAAAGCCCGAUGCCACAGUGAGUUUCCCAAGAAUCGAACUGAACAUUCCAAAAGAGGAGAACCUCACACCGCAGAAAGUGGCGCAUGUUGACGCCCCAAAGCAGUCAGAUUUUACCAUCCCCCAUUAUGAAGGGCCACUAUCUCCUCAGGAGAAAUUUGAGCGGGAUCAGCAGAAGAUACGCAUGCAGUAUGAGGAGGAUAAACGACGGGCGAGGGAGGCGGAAAAACACAGACAGGAGCAUGAAAAGAAGACUCUAGACUCUGACAGGUUUUUGCAAAGUAUGGAAUCACAAAUUCUACAGACCAAGUCCGAGGCAGCCAAUCACAGCCUGUUGAACAACCAACCAAUCAAAUCGAGUGUUACAGAACCGAGGUUCAGCUCUGAACCAAUGACAAUCAAGCUUUCAUCAAAUAUGCCAGCUAGGCCUUUGCUUAUUGACCCACGGAAUCAGCAAGAGGAUUUCAGGGAUUCCAAGCAGCCAGAGUACAGUUUCCGGGUUGAUUUACCUAAGACUGAAUCUGCCCCACCUCUACGCACUCUUAGACAAACUGAAGAGACUAACUCUUUGGCUCGGGAACGUGAAAAAAUCGAGGAGGAGAAACGAAAGUUAGAGGAAGAGCGACAGCAAUUCAAGGAGGAGCAAGAAAGGCAGAAACGUGAACAGGAGGACAAGCUGCGAAGGGAACGAGAGCAACUGCAGAGAAAAGAGGAAGAGAUUGCGAGAGAGAAGGCUUUAUUGGAGGCAAAACGUAACCAAAACAACAGUUUCUCUUCUCCUUACCAGUCCUCUGUGAGUCCCAGUCUCUACUCGCCAUCCAGUAGUACCAGCAGCUCGACAUCACACUCCCCACAUUCUCCUCCGACUGCAUACGAUAGCAAAUCAUUCGAUCACUCCGGUGGUAAGAAGCAGCCUCCACCGACUGCACCCAAGCCAGAUAAAGGAGUGAAAGAGAAGGCUCGGCUCACCAGGGAGGAUUUGCUGGCAAUGAAUCGCAAAGCAACACCACUGACCAAGCCGGACCCUUCAAUGGAAAUGUCGCCAUCUCAGUCUGAACCUCUCUCGCCUACAACCAGGGAGGCACCGUCUAAGGCCCAACUUCAUUCGCUGAACGCUGUACCAAAACAGAAGUUCAGAAGCUCUGCUCCCUGGAUGAAAGAAGAUGACACAAGUUCCAGUGUCCCUCAAAAUGCAAAUACCCUGACGCAGAACGAGCGGCCGUUUGUGAUAGGAAAACGAUCAGACUUAAUUCACACUCAUGAUUCUUCCAAUCCCAAUGACCACUGGUUAGUACGCGAGGCAGAAAAAAGGCGGUUGGCGGAAAGAGACAAUGCAGAAAGUGUAACUGCUAGGGCGGGACCGACAAAACCAAGUCAGAGCUCCUUAGUGAAUCGUUUCCGUGGAGAUAUAGAACCUCCACCCAGACAGAACAAUAGAUAUUCAUACCCGUCAUAUAGUGAUGUUCAGGACACACCGUCACCUCGACCCUUGUCGACAAGUGGCUCAAAUCUUCGUCAAUAUGACCGUAGCCCCGAUCAGGGAAUUACUACAAAGUUCAGUGCACGGACACAGCCCAGUAGCUAUUCGGGCAACCCUUCCAUGUCACAAACAUUGCCACCAAGUUUUAGUUUCAAUGCAAGGACUAAUGGCAGUGCCACUGCUGCUAGGCCACCACGAUCGUUGACAGAGGACCGGGACCCGGUGAUUGCUGUCAGCGGCAAACAGAGGCCACCACGAUCAUUGACCGAAGACCGGGACCCGGUGAUUGCUGUCAGCGGUAAACAGAAGUGUUCACAUUGUGGGGAGGAGCUUGGCUUCGGUGCGGCCAUGGUGAUAGAGUCGCUCGGGUUGUACUAUCAUGUGCAGUGCUUCCGCUGCUGUGUCUGCCACGCCGCCCUCGGCAACGGCUCAGAGGGCGCGGACGUGCGCGUUCGGGUCGACAAAUUGCACUGUAAAAACUGUUACAGCAAUGACGAAGGUACAAUCGUUCAGUUCUUGGGAGUGUUCUGACUGAACUCAGUAGGGGAGAUAAUUUGCAAGCCAUGCCAAGGUUUUCAGAAGGAGCUGGUUUAAAGUUCAGCAAAGUGUGAUGAAGGUCCCAGGAACAGCGCUGUGCAUGAUGAAAUAUGAGAGAGAGACUGUCAACUUCACCUGCAUUCAUAUCCUGAUGAAGGUCCCAGGAACAGCGCUGUGCGUGCUGAUGAAAUAUGAGAGAGAGACUGUCAUCUUCACCUGCAUUCAUGACCUUGACCUUGUGAUUGUUGUGACCUUGACUUGUCUUGCAUAUGUGUAAGCUGUGGAAGCAAAGUACAAGCAAAAUAGAAGAUACAAAAUUAACUGACAUUGCAUUUUCUGUCGUGUAUUUAAAAAAUGAAAUAUAUACAAAUAAUUUAUUUUAGAAAGAGCCUAUACCAUAAGUUUCACAGUGUAUACAAGCCAUGAUAAGAAUUGUGAUCGUGAAGCAAUUGUUUUUAUUUUGCUAUCAUUUGGAAAUGUUUUGGCAUUUAACAAAGAACAUCGAACUGAUAUCAGCUUGUCAGCUUCAAUUUUGUUCCAUUUUAAGUGACGAGCAUCUCCAUUUCUUCUGCUGGUUUUAUUUAUUGCCAUUAAAAUGCCUAUAUAUAAAAAAAUAUAUAUGUAGCAUAUAAGAAAUAUUAUAUAGUGUAGUGUAAUAGCUUUCUGGUCUGUGUCGAUAUGAACAAUCAAUUGUGUGCACUGAAAGCCUGUGUUUAAUGCAAAUUACAGAAAUGUGAACAAAAAUACAUGAAAUAUAACAAUUUAACUCUUUCAGUGCUGGAACCGAAUUUUGAAGGCCUUUGCAAACAGUUUGGAUCCAGAUGAGAUGCCACAGAACGUGGCAUCUCAUCUGGAUCCAAACUAUUUGCUAUUCUGAUAGUAUUCUUUGAAAAAAAUCUAAGAAAAUGAUAAUUUUAGAAAUUCAGCAGACAACAUUUUAGCAGACGACAAAUUUCCCAGCAUGCAAAGGGUUAAACACUAUAUUCAAUAGUGAUAUAAUUUUAUUCUGUUGCAGCCAUGGUCAGCAGAUGCAUUGUUACUGGUUGCAAAGUUUAUGUGCAAGUUCUUUUUCAUGUAUCAUUUUUACUUGGAAUGACUGUAUUAAUGAUUUGAAUUGUUGUUGAUGUUUUUUUUGUGUAUUAAAACCUCUAUUGGUCAGUUUAUUUGACUAAAAUUUAAGGUCAUCAUCUUGAACAAUCUGUUGUGUCAGUGUUGUGUAAGUGUACUCCUAGCUUUCUGCAUUUUGUUGUGAUAUUUGUUUCGACAGUGCUGUCUCUCAUAUUGUAUCGUCCCUUUGUUAUAAGCCACUUUCUUGUUGACUGUCACCUCAUUUUUCCUCUGGUUUGUGUUCUUUUUGUGUUGUUUAUUUCUUGUUGUAACAUGACACUUGUUGAUUAUUCUAUAAUGAGCAAAAUAUUAUUGUUAAACUACCCAAUCAACAACUCUUUGCCAUUCUGUUAUAUGCUUAUUUAAACACCAGGGCUGCACAGCAAAAGUCUGAAUUGUUGUUUAUUGGUUGAUAAACAAUGAAACAAUUGUACAUGAUUUCUAAGACCUCCAUGUACUGGAGACCAAAACUGGUAAAAAAGAGAUACAUUGCUUGACAAUGAUGUUUUUGGGAUUUGCCCAUUGUAAUAUACAGGGACACAGAAAUCAAUUCUUCUGGCUAUUUCUUUUUUUAGAAUACAGUUCAUAUCUUUCAUUUCUUGGGCAUGAAAUGUUGAGGAUUUGUAAAUGUGAACAUAAAUGUUGGACUUUAAAUUUGUGGAAUUGUUUAUGUUUGAUAUAAGACUUUAAACUUAAACAUUUGUUGAAAAUCUUAUUAAAAGGUCGAGCAGACCCAAAAAAAUCCACGAAAAUUAUUGUCCAACAAAUGAUAUUGGUUUCACUUGCUUUAGCUCACUAUUUUCAUAAUGCAUUACUAAUGCUUUACAGAAAAAAUACACAUUUAAUACAAAAUUAGGUGUAAAUUAUUUACAAUUAUUGCUGAUAUUUUUCACUGAUAAAAUAGAAGUCUUAAGCAGAUAAUUGCUUAGAAGACUCUAAGAAGAGUAAUUAGGCCCUGGUGUCGGGGUUCAUAAAAUAAUUGCAUGUUGUAUCCCUACGCCUGGUUGUUAAAUGAUAUUAUUGAAUUGUAGAAUUUUAUAUAACAAUAAUUUAUUUUCUAAUGUAUAAUAAACCAAAAAUGUGGAUAAGAUCUCAAUUUAUAUGUUUGCUUCAUGAAUUUUUGAUGGAACAUUUCUAAAAAAUAUAUAUCAUAAAAUAUUUACAGAAAACUGUUUUUAAUAUAUUUUCUAUAAUUGUCAAUAUAUUCUUAAAGGGUAAAUCCUAGAACAGCAUUUUGGAGAAGUUUUAUUUGAAAUAUACAGUUUGAAUAAAUGAUAAAUUAUUUAUUAUACAUCUCAUGAAGAUAUUUAACAGGAUAUUUUUUAUGAAGUAUUGCAGUUAUGUAUUCAGUAAUUUUGUUGUACACUUGUUUUGAAAUGUUAUUUCACUCAAUAUGCAAGUAUUGCACCGUUACUUUAUCGAUUCACUAAAAGUUAAGUAAUAAUCAUGGAUAAGUUGCACUAUAUUUGCCAGUAAUCAUGCUAGUUUGCUUCUACCUUAAUUUUACUGAAUGCAUAGUAAAUAUAUUUUAUAUUUUACGCAAUAUUAUGUGUAUUACAUUACAAUUUCUUGUAAUCAUAUGUCCAUCAUGAUAUUUUAGUAUAUUGGUGAAUUGUUUCUACAAACACAUACAAAAUUAAUGUGUGUUAAUGUAGUGCAGAAACAUUAUUUGUUACAGUAGGUUGCAUACUACCAACAUUUCUACAAAUUCCAAUGCCAUGUUUCAUCAUAUUACUACAAAAGUGUUUUCAAAAAGUGUGCAUAAAUACAGUAACUGUACAGUAACUUAAUCUUAUCCAAAUGCAAGUUCAAGCCUGCCAUAAGAAUUAUAAUAGAUAAAAAGGGAACAAAAGCAUUUAUUCCAUCUAAACUAUAUUUUUUUAAAACCAUCAUUUAGCAUUUAUUAUAUGAUUUUUGUAUUUGUAUUGCGAAUUAAAAAAAAAAAGUAAUGUGUUUUCACUGGUGAACAUUCUAACCAUAUACGUGUAAUGAGUUAAUAUUUGAAUAAUUAUUUAACAUUUUUUACACUUCAAUAUGAACCUGAACGUAUGCACAUUGGAUCUUUAUUUUGGUUCAAUGUCUUUCCUGGCACUUGGUUAGUGCUCCUAUUUGUAAUCUCUUUUCCUGCUCUUAUACUGUUGAUAAUGCAUUAAUUUGAGCCCGCUCUGGAAAAAUGGGUGUAAAUGAAUGUGCUUAAUGCAGUCUGCACAGGCUAAUCAGGGAUGAAUCUCCGCUUUGACUGGAUAUUCCUCCGCUUUGACUGGAUAUUCGUUUAGAAGAGUCUUCCUCUUUCCAAAAACUUCCAUAAAAGCAGGAAGUGUAGUCCCUCAUUCUGCACUGGCUAAUCCUGGAUGAUUCACAUGCAUUAAGCCCAGUUUUCCUAGAGCACAGCUUAUAUAUAUUUUCCUAGGUCAAGGUUUAUCAGAAUUAUAGAUAUUAUAAAAAAGAGGUCUAUACAAUUGUAAGUACUAUUAUUCAGGCACAGAACAUUAAUGGCUAUAUUUUUUGAAAGCGAGAUGGAUUCCUCAGCCUUGUUUUGACUUUAAGCAGACAGAAUGUUUGUAAAUAAUUGUAAAAAUCAUGUUGCACUGUUAGUUAUCAUUGUGCAAGUUUGUUAUGUCAUGCUUUGUAUAAUUUCCCUGUGUUGUGCUUUUUGUGAAACUAUAAUUGUAACAAUUAUAAUGCAUGUAGGGAUGUCAAGGUGAGGUUCUUAUGUGGUAGCAAUAUGUUGUUCAGAAAUGAUGUUGAAUAUAUUUAUGUUAUAAACAGAUAAAAUCAUUUAAUUUAAUAUUAAAGCUUGAUAUAUAUUAUAA